GAUGAACGCUGGCGGCGUGCCUAAUACAUGCCAGUCGAGCGAACGGACGAGAAGCUUGCUUCUCUGAUGUUAGCGGCGGACGGGCGAGUAACACGCGGAUAACCUACCUAUAAGACUGGGAUAACUUCGGGAAACAGGAGCUAAUACCGGAUAAUAUUUUGAACCGCAUGGAUCAAAAGUGAAGGACGGUCUUGCUGUCACUUAUAGAUGGAUCCGCGCUGCAUUAGCUAGUUGGUAAGGUAACGGCUUACCAAGGCAACGAUGCGUAGCCGACCUGAGAGGGUGAUCGGCCACACUGGAACUGAGACACGGUCCAGACUCCUACGGGAGGCAGCAGUAGGGAAUCUUCCGCAAUGGGCGAAAGCCUGACGGAGCAACGCCGCGUGAGUGAUGAAGGUCUUCGGAUCGUAAAGCUCUGUUAUUAGGGAAGAACAUAUGUGUAAGUAACUGUGCACAUCUUGACGGUACCUAAUCAGAAAGCCACGGCUAACUACGUG
rnacentral:rRNA from 1 species